rnacentral:misc_RNA from 1 species
CACCAGGGCCAGCUCGACCUCCUCUAUUUGGGCACGUCAUCUCCUCUAUCCCCACGCGUCUCCUGCUCUAUGUUUCCAAAGCCAAGCGCUCUUUCUCCAUGCCGCUCAGCCUCCUCUCUGUUUCAGUCGUGGAGCAUCAGCAAUCCACAUCAUCUCCGUUGGCCGAGCGGUUCCCUCGCGGCGCCCAGGAUCCUUCCCAGACGCGCUCGGCUCCCUGGUCUGUCUGUCACCUUGCCGACGCCUCCUCUGCUCCUCCACCUGUAGCUCGCCCCUAUCUCCUCCUCUCCCCAUGGCGGCUCCCCCUGGAUCCCUCCCUGCGCGAACCCUCUCCUGCAGCACGCCAGUGCCGACCACAAUCUCCCAUGGCGCAGGAGCUCCCCAUUCUCCUCUUGCUAGGGCGCCGUCGCUGGGCUCGCCCAGUCUCUCGCUUUCUCUGCUCCAGCAGCAACCGUCUCAAGGUAUUCCAGUUCGUGAGCAGCAGCAAUCGAUAUAGCUCCUCCGCACCGUGGCGCAGCCAGCCGUCGAUGCCAUGUCCCUGCAACCUCGUGUCGUCGUCGUGCCCGCCUUGAUUAGGUGGAGAAGAAGGUUCAGUUCAACACUCCCUAAGUGUUCGAUGAUAUGCUCCGGUGGCCAUCGUCGUUCUUGCAAAAAAAUCAAGUCGGAUCAUGAUGUGGUACGUUAAUUGAUCACGGAGUGGGAGAACAAGAGCUGAGUUGAUCUCAAGGGAUACUGAUGAAUGAACUUGAAGAUUUGCGUGAUCGAAUCAAGCGCCAGGAUAAGAGAUGCUCCCCAAGCGGACGUCAUCUAACAACACUGACUUAGUGUUAUCUCAGGAAGCCUGCGCCUGGGGAGCCACCAGCAGCACCCGCCGACUCUGAAGCUCAGUUCCUCUCAGGAGACGACGGCGAUGAACACGGGCAGGCCGACGACGAGGAUGGAUGUGGAGGUGAACGACUACCAACCGUUGGGCCCCAACAACCGCCACGAUCCACCCAUUUUGGCCAUUUCCUUGUUCAAAGGAUCUACGCCCUCGCGACAUGCUUGGAGGUUUCAGACUUCCAGGUGCUUACUGAUAUUUCACCACGCGCCCAGUAGUACGAAGCAACUGAUCCCGCAACCACAGUUUAAGAGCAUGUGAGAAUGAAUUGAGUCACCCAGUAGCAACCAAAUAAGUGGAAUAGAAUGGCAAUGCUGAUAUGAGGGGUGUAAUGGAUGUUGUAGUCACAAUUUACUUUUCCCAGCUUCAGAUCAUAUGAACAACAAUCAGUAUUGCAAUCAUUUCGGACAACUUGACCAGAGCUGAAGAGAUGGAGUGUAGCAGAAAACCAGAACAUAUAAAAGAUAGAAAGGAUCAGGCACAACAAAAGUGGAAAAGCUAUCAUUGCCUGAACUUCACCAAUGACCUUUGCAGCAACCUGAAGCCAUGCGUAAUGGUUAUUGGUAGGAGCUACCAGCUAUCACAUUCAAAAUAUAGAGAUGAUUAUUAAUGCCCCUAUGCAAUACUUGUCAUGUAUCCAAC